UGUGCAAUGGACUGGAUUUGGCCCACCAGCCGCAGUUUGCUAUUUCCUUCUGGAAACAUCUGGAAGCUUACAUCUCUGAUUUGACAAGCUGAUUUUGGUCCCUCUGUUUCUGACCUAUUUGUUUUCUAUUUGCUGAAUCCCACAGAUCCUGACGUCUGUGUGCUGGACCCUCACCCAGUCACCCAGGCCCUAUAUCCGUGGUGUCUGCUGCCUGGGCUGGACUCUGGCUCCAAGUGGCCCUGGCACAGGCACACACCCAUGGAGAUGGAGAAGAGGCACAUGGAAACCGGUGGAGAGCAGUGAGCAGAGAGUGGAGCUGCCCAAGAGAGAAGCAACAAUCAUCAACACAGAAGAUGUCCGUGAUCAAAGGUGUGGGGUUUUCCUAUACACACCAAGUGGCAGACACCAGCUGGGUGUCCUCCAAUUCCACUCCAACACUGUCUACCUGGAGAGAGUGUCAGAACCCACAGUUUGGGGGCUCAAUCCCAAGAAUGCCCUCUCACCCACCCCAAGACACCAUUUGGACAUGGAUGAAUCUGGAGGACAUCAUCCUCAGCAAACUGACACAAGAACAGAAAAUGAAACACCGCAUAUUCUCACUCAUAUGCGGGUGAUGAAAAAUGAGAACACAUGAACACAGGGAGAGGAGUACUAAACACUGGGGUCUAUUGGGGGGAAAAGGGGAGGGCCAGUGGGAGGGGGAGGUAGGGAGGGAUAACCUGGGGAGAAAUGCCAAAUGUGGGUGAAGGGGAGAAAGGAAGCAAGACACACUGCCAUGUGUGUACCUAUGCAACUGUCUUGCAUGCUCUGCUCAUGUACCCCAAAACCUAAAAUGCAAUAAAAAAUUAAAAAAAUAAAAAAUAAAGCAGUAUUAUUCUUGUUUACAAAAUAAGUCUUAUCUCAUUAAGUGUGGCCUGAUUAUAUAAGUGCAACAAGAAUAGUAAUUGACUACAUGGGUUUAUUAAAGUUUGUUUUGUAGCAGUUGUUAUAAGGAAUCUCACCUUAUUUUUUUGUUUUUAUUUUUUUUGAGACGGAGUCUCACCCUGUCACUUAGGCUGGAGUGCAAUGGUGUGAUCUUGGCUCACUGCAACCUCUGCCUCCCAGGUUCAAGCAGUUCUCCUGCCUCCACCUCCCAAGUAGCUGGGAUUACAGGCAUGUGGCACUACGCCCAGCUAAUUCUUUGUAUCUUUAGUAGAGACAGGGUUUCACCAUGUUGGUCAGGCUGGUCUUGAAUUCCUGACCUCGUGAUCUGCCCUCCUUAGCCUGCCAAAGUGCUGGGAUUACAGGCGUGAGCCACCGCACCUGGACUCACAUUAGAUUUUAAAAGCCUCUUCAGGCCAUGAAGCCAAAUGAAGAACUCAAUAUCAAACUGCACCUGCUGUACCUAUAGAUUUGGGUGAAUUUCUCACUUUUUUUUUGAGAUGAAGUCUUGCUCUGUCAUCCAGGCUGGAGUACGAUGGUUCGAUCUUGGCUCACUGUAACCUGUGCCUCCCAGGUUCAAGCAAUUCUCCUGCUUCCCAAGUUGCUGGGACCACAGGUACAUACCACCACACCUGGCUAAUUUUUGUAUUUUUAGUAGAGACAGUGUUUCACCAUGUUGGCUAGGCUGGUUUUGAACUCCUGAUCUCAGGUGAUUCAACUGCCUUGGCCUCCCAAAGUGCUGGGAUUACAGGUGUGAGCCACAGCUCCUGGCCCCUUAGUUCUCAAGAUGCUCAAAAUAUUAUAAGCUUCUUUAUUUUUAUUUUUCCUUUUACUUUACUUUUCUUUUUUUAGAUAAGAAUUUUGCUCUUGUUGCCCAGGCUGAAGUACAAUGGUGCAAUCUCAGUUCACUGCAACCUCUGCCUUCUGGGUUCAAGUGAUUCUCCUGCCUCAACCUCCUGAGUAGCUGGGAUUACAGGCUCCAGCCACAUGCUCAGCUAAUUUUUAUAUUUUUAGUAGAGAGGGAGUUUCACCACCUUGGCCAGGCUGGUUUUGAACUCCUGACUUCAAGCCACCCACCACAAGCUAGGAUUAUAGGUGUGAGCCACUGCCCUUGGCCUAUUUUUAUUUUUUCAUACGUCAAAAACCAAGGGCCGUUUUUUGGCCUGCCAGGAAGUGGCCAUCCUUACUCACCUGGAAUUCUGGGAAUACCGCAAGCCAUGUACCAUGCUGAUAUUUGCCAGAGAACUCUGUGAAUAGUGGCUCCAUAAAGUCAACCUUAGUGCCAUGAAAGUGUCUGGUCAUAUCUGAUUCUAUACACAUUGUGAAAUGGCUCAGA
rnacentral:lncRNA from 1 species